rnacentral:rRNA from 1 species
UACGGAGGGGGCGAGCGUUAUUCGGAAUUAUUGGGCGUAAAGGGCGCGUAGGCGGCUUGACAAGUCAAAGGUGAAAUCCCUCGGCUCAACUGAGGAACUGCCUUUGAAACUGUCUGGCUUGAGGCCGGGAGGGGGUAGCGGAAUUCCCAGUGUAGCGGUGAAAUGCGUAGAGAUGUGGAGGAACACCAGUGGCGAAGGCGACUCUUUGGCCUGUAACUGACGCUGAGGCGCGAAAGCGUGGGGAGCAAACAGG